rnacentral:rRNA from 1 species
GAUGAACGCUGGCGGCGUGCCUAAUACAUGCAAGUAGAACGCUGAAGGAAGAGCUUUCUCUUCUGGAUGAGUUGCGAACGGGUGAGUAACGCGUAGGUAACCUGCCUGGUAGCGGGGGAGAACUAUUGGAAACGAUAGCUAAUACCGCAUGACAACAGUUAUUGCAUGAUAACUGUUUAAAAGGGGCAACUGCUCCACUACCAGAUGGACCUGCGUUGUAUUAGCUAGUUGGUGAGGUAACGGCUCACCAAGGCGACGAUACAUAGCCGACCUGAGAGGGUGGUCGGCCAACCCGGGAACUAGACCAGGGCCAAGCUUCUUAGGGAGGCAGCAGGAGGGGAUCUUCGGACAUUGACGGAAGUCCGAACGAGGCAAGCCGGGGGGGUGGAGGAGGGUCUCGGAUCGUAAAGCUCCGUUGUAAGAGAAGAACGAGAGUGAGAGUGGAAAGUUCACACUGUGACGGUAUCUUACCAGAAAGGGACGGCUAACUACGUG